GGGCUCAUGGCCAAAUGGAUAAGGCGCUUGACUACGAGUUCAUACGAAUAGGUGAAUAAGUAGCUUAUCAAGAGAUUCCAGGUUCGACCCCUGGUGAGCUCG